rnacentral:lncRNA from 1 species
CAACAAUGUCCCCUCUCAUUUUCCGAUCCCGAUUCUUUUCCCUUCUGAAGAAUCGCCAUGGCCGUCUUAUGAGCUCCGACCUCGCUUCAACCCCUUCCAAAGAUGCCCUCAAUGCCUCUCAGAAGCUCGUCUCCGAUCAGAUUCCACCUGAUGCUCAAACCACUUCUGCUACUUCUUCUUCUUCUUCCUCUAGUAAGCCCUGGAAUUUCUUCAAGUAUAGUUUGAUUGGUGCUCUCACAGGUGCAACUGCGGUUGCUGGUUACGCCAGUUAUGGUAUUUUGUCCCUUCCUUCUUUAUAACUCCUUAUCUCUCGUUUAGCAUGAUGCUAUUUGAUCUGGUUUCUAUUUGAUUUUAUUUCAUGAAUGGAUUGGAGUUACGAGCUGUUGAUUUGUUUUUCAGCCUAUAGUUAUGAUGAAAUUGAGGAGAAGGCGAAAACUUUACGUCGUUCUGCUAGUCAUACAUCGAGGAAAGUUUAAAUGAAAUAUUUAAACUUUCCCUAACGUCGGGUGGAGUGACGUUGCAAAAAGUUUAAUAAUAAUUAUUGUUUAAACUUUCUCCAACGUGAAACCUGCCACACAUCGUGGAAAGUGUACAUAUUGAAGUGACAAUGGUCACCUUUCCCUAACGUGUGGCAGGGGACACGUUGAGGAAAGUUUAAAUGAUACAGACACUUUAUUUAUUUAAAUAAUAAAUAAUGAAUUUAUUACUUAAACCUUCUACGACGUGUGUACUACAGACGUAGGCAAAAGGUACAUUUCUAGAUAUUUUCGAAGACGUCGGAGAAAGUCCACACUAUUUAUUCUACCUUCAAAACACAGAAUAGAAUGCAAAAAGAAAAUGAACCCAAAACCGACCAAGAGAGAGGGAGAGUAGGAGAGUUGUGCUGCCGUCAUCGUUCGUCUUUGCCGCCACCACUGUUGGAAGCGUCCUCUUUUCUUCUCUUUUUCUUUUUCAUUUCAAAUUUUUCACUUCACUGUACCCUUUCAAAUCAUAGCAUAGCUAGAAUCCAGAGCACCGCAAAAUGUGUUUAUGAAUCCGCAUUGAAACACAAAGUUAAAAAAAAAAAAAAAAACCCACAAAGAAACUACAAGAAUAAUAGAAGUAUGCAAUUGAAACAGAACGUAACAAGCUAGAAGAAGUAGAUGAUGAUGAUGAAAAACAAAGAAAAGAAAACAAAGUUUAGGCUUUUCACAAUGUCACGUCGGGGAAGGGUUCCACGUUGUGAUGUCGCGAAAACCCUUUCCCGACGUGCUGACAAUGUGCGUCGGUGAGCGUUUCCCCAUCAUCAACAUGAUCUUCGUCAGGGAAAGUAUCCCUAACGUACAUGUCAACGUUGGGGUAAAUGAAUAAAAUGGAUUCUUGCAACUCUCUCGUGUGGUAAAUGAAUAAAUGGACGUCAUUUUCAAAACCAAUAUAUAUAUAAAAAAAAAAGUAAAUUCUAUUCCAAAAGUGAGUCUUCUCUUCUCUCUUUCAUCCAAUUAAUAUUAUAAUUUGUAAAUACAACAACGUAACACCCAUUUGGAAGAAUGAAAAGCAAUAUGGAGGAGGGAAUUGUCUUUCAAUAAUUGCAGUCUAAUUCCAUGAUCUAUAACUUACAUAUAACAUUCUACUACGUUCUUCCACAACUUUCCCACAUCUCUUACCUAACAAUAUAUUCAAAUUUUGCCUUUUACAAACACUCAAAACUUUCUUUACACUCACUAUUUAUUUCUUUUUUUUAAACCCUUAAUUAAAAACUAUAUUUUUUACAAAAAAAAUAUUUACAAUUUACAAAUUAUAGUAAAUUGUAUUAUCUAUUAAACUCUUAUUACUGAUAUCGAUAGAUUGUUACUCGUGUUUACUAUCAAAUUUAAAAUUUUACUUAUUUUAUAAAUAUUUUUAUUCAUUUGGUUAUAUUUAGAAAUGUUUCUAAGUUUAUUUUUUGAAUAAAUAUGCGCAUCAAACUUAAAAUUUUAGUUGAUUUAUUAAUUAAAUAAGAAAAUAAUAUUUUUUUAAAAAGAUGAUUUUGGUUCUUUGUGAACUAUUUUGUGAACCAAACUCCUAUAGGAAAGAUAUCCCUCAUGUUUCAUAUGGGAGAUACAAAAAAUAUACUUGUUUGUUUUUUUUUUUUUUUUUUGAGAUUUUCGGUUUUUUCAAGUAUUCUCAUUUUGUUUUUUCGAGCAUGUUUUGUUCCAUAUUUUGAACAUAAUCAAAAGGGUGUGAAAAUUUUGAUCGGCUUCUAGUGCAUAUCUGAUCAAGAUAAACGAGUUUGGAUUGUUUUAUUCUAAGGCACUGUGGAAAUUUUUCAAACUACUUGCACACCAGGCAUAGCCGUGAAAUGUCUUAAAAAGAGUGUGAUCCACAACUAAAUCUUUUACGAGCUUCUAUUUUCUAAGUUUUGUUCGUAGCUUCUGUUUUCUGAUUUUCAUUCCCAUUAUCAUGGAGCUAAUUUGGAAUUUUGGUUCUUCUGUUAUUGUUGCAUUCUUGUACUCAGUUUCUAUGUGAUUGUAAUUGAUCCAACAUAACUUAUGUUUUGAAAGAACAUAGUAGGUUCAAACUACAAUAAAAUACACUCAAAACCCAAGUAAAUGUUAUAUUUCUCAGACAAGAUUCAUAUAUGAAAAUUUUGAAAAAUUUUGAACUAAACACUCAUGAUCCUCACAUCAUUUCUCAAUUAAUUAAUGACAAAGCUUCACACUACAAGAAAGACAUUAUAUCUCAAAGCUUCUUUAGCAUGUCGAGAGAUAGGGUCUCUUCGGUGUCAUGACAUGAGCGUCGAAAGACCUUUAAUAACUGACAAGUAUAUGUGAUAUAGAGUUUCAUAUUUAAAUGUGAUUUAAAUAUUGAUAAAAUGAAUGUGAACUCAUAUUCGGAAGCUCAUAAUUGAUGAAAAUGGUCAAAGUUGUAAAAAGUUAAAAUGUUGACUUUUGACUUUGAAAAGUCAAACUUUGAUUGACUUUAUAUUCAAAUGUGAUUUGAAUUUUAGAAAAAUAAAUGUGAAUUCAUACUCGGGAGAUCAAAAUUAGUCUAUACAGAUAAAAUGGUAAGAAGUUAAAGUUUGACUUUGACUUGAAUGGUCAAAUGACCAUAUUGCUUUUCGACUAAAGUUAGUGGAAAAAUCCAACAUUUUGUUGGAUAAUCCCACUAACACUGAGUGGGAUAAGUGGCUACAUGAGAUAUAAACACCUAACCUACUAAGUUCUACUAAUGAUUAGUGGAAUUUUAGGUGUUAGAGAUGUGGUGAACUAAUUACAUGCAUUUUUGUAUGUAACUAGGUUAUUUAAAGGGAUUAUUUCAAAUAUUAGAAGACUUUUGUCAAUUUUGAUAAUUUUUAUUUUUAAAAAAAUUAUACUAAAUUGAUAUUUGUCUCCCAGAUUUCAAACCUAAGUUCUUCCUCCAUUUUCCACUUCUCUCUAAAAUUUCUUCACUUAUCGGGUCCCUCCCACCACCCAGUUCUAAGUCUGAAGAAUAGUAGGUAAUCUCUAGUGGUGGUCUCGUAUUCGUGUUCGUGAGGAGAUAUCAAGGAAUCAAGAAGGUAUGAAGGUAUGUUCUCUUUUAACCCUAAUUUCAUUUAGUUAGGAUUUUAUAUGUAAAUAUCUAAAUUGUUUAGAUGUAAUUAGAGUAAAUUUGAUCUUGUUUUUUGCUGCAUGUGUCUCAUGUUCUAUCAAUAUAUAUGUAUAAAACCUAAAUCCUUAAUAGCGUCUUCGUCUUCGAUCUUUCCUAGCCUCACAUAGUGGCACGUCUACUUCAUGCCUCUCCACCUUGCCCCCCUCCGCCAGCAGCCUCUCUUCCAGUCUCAUUGUCUCUUCGCCAUUCCCAAAAAAGUUUGUCAUCUUGCCUUACUUUUUUGCAGUUUGCACUCACAGUCGCCUCCUCCAAACUUAGGUUACUCUUCUUUCUUUCUACCUUUUUCCUUUACUUGAAAUUAUUAUUUUGUUAUUUCAAAAAAAUUUGAUUCAUUUAGAUCUUUAUAAUUAAUUGUUUUUUGUGAGCUCUCUAAAAUUAUAAAAACAUGGUUGGCACUUGGUAACUUUUUUCACAUUCUUGUUGGUUGAGAAAAGGAACAUAAAUUAUAUUUCAUAAUUAUUAAUUUCAAUUUAUACACUAUAUAUCUUCAUCCUUCUUUUUCUUUGAUUCUCUACUCCUAUUUCUCUAUUUAUAAAGAACUUCGAUAAAAGUUGCCUUUCUACCUUUGCGUUGCUGAUUUACAAAUGAUAAACAUGUAGUACAAGUUUUUAUAUCGCUUGUCCAAGUGUAAGCAAAACGAUAGGUUUUCUAAGUAAGCUAGUGUCAAACACAAAAAACUAUCAAAUCUUAGUUCUAAGAUCUACUUCUCAUUUAAGCGAUAUACAAUUCUAUAUAGUAUAAAGUAAAUGUGUGUAUGUGUAUUAAAAACUACUAUUUAUACUAGAGAUUCUGUAAAAGAUGAUUAGAAAUGGGGGAAGUGUGGAAAGUGGACUAAUCUUGUAUUGAGAAAGUGUGAAGGAAAGUCUCUUUGUUAUAGGAAAAUAAGUCAUGCAGUAGUCUUUGACGGGAUAAAGAUCAAUUAAUUAUCUUCUAAUUAAGGUGAACACCUCUCAGUGCCUAAACACCAUACUUACUCACCUCUUGGGUUUCAAAUGAUAAAGAUAAAUUACUUGAUAACUAUCUAGAUAUCAUCACUUGUAGGGUCAUAAAGGGUGACAACCUCUCAGCGUCGUGUUACCACACUUGUUCUUCUUUCAGGACACAAGUCAUGGAGGUUUAAUCACCACAUGAUGAAGUUUGUCUCCAAACUCCUUUAUGUGUGUGUUUAGUUAUGUUCUUGCUACUUACUCUCUCGAGCAGUUGGUGAAAAAUACUGGCCAAGCGAUGGAGUAAAGCUCAGUUAAACGCGAUGAACCUUAUAAGCAAGAUCUCUUAUCAAGAACUUAUCACGAGUCUAAACUACUUAUAACACUUCAACAGAUGAACAAUAAAGAAAUGAUAGAUUGAAAGGAAAUAAAGUUACAAUGUCUUAAAGAAUGUAGGCCUUUCGGCCAUGUAUAAUAUGAAAGUCAACAUUACGAAAGUACAAAAAUUGAAAGCAAGAAAGGGACUCGAGCCGCAGAAUGCCUAAGAACGUGUGUAGUAGCCAAGGAAUGAGAGAAAUGUCGUGAUAGCACUACCCUUCCUUUAUAUAACAGCUCCUCAUUACUCCACUAGUACUUUCCUCCUUGGUUCACCCCUUUUUUAGCUCUACUAUAAUUCUCUGGAGUUCUUGAUCAUUCUCAACUUCCUUCUCUAUAAGUUCUACGUCAACAAUGCCCGUUGUCGUCAUUGUGUUUAACUCCACAGUUUGAUCUUUCCUUAAGAGUGCAUCAACGGUUUUAUUCUGCAAACCCGGUUAGUAUAAUAUCUCGAAAUCACACCCCAAGAGUUUAGUUAACCAUUUCUGGAAUUGAGGCUGAACUUCCCUUUGUUCCAACAAGAAUUUCAGAGCUUUCUAAUCUAAAAUAAUAGUGAAUUUCCUCACCAGUAGGUAGUGCCUCCAUUUCUGCACUAAGAGAACAACUGCCAUGAGUUUCCGUUCAUAUAUGGACUUAACUUGAGCUCUUGAGGAAAGAGCUCAAGUUUCUGACUGAAGAAUGCUAUAGGGUGUCCUUGUGCAACAGCACUCCUAAGCCUACUCCUGAAGUAUCAGUCUCAAUUGUAAAUGGCUUUGACCAAUCAGGCAGUGCUAACACUGGUAUGGUCGUCAUUGCUAAUUUCAGUUGUUCAUAAGCUGCUAUGGCUUCCUCAUUCCACUUGAACGCGUUCUUCUGAAGUAACUUAGUUAAGGGCGUGGCAAUCUCCCCAUAACUCUUCACAAACUUCCGAUAAUAUCCAGUCAGUCGGCCCUAGAAAUCCCCUCAGCCCAAUUAUGUCCUUCAGUUGUGGCCAAUUAAUCAUGCUUCGAAUCUUUUCCUCAUCAGCUUCGACUCCUCUACUGGAAAUCAUGUGCCUCAAAUACUGAACUUAGGAGUGGGCUAUUACACAUUUGUUUCUAUUUGCAAAUAGUUGAUCAUCCCUCAAUAUGGCAAAUACCAUCCCCAAAUGUUUCAUAUGCUCGUUAUAUUAGCACUAUAAACUAAAAUAUCAUUAAAAAAAGACAAGAACACAUCUUCUGAGGAAAGGUUUGAAUAUCUGGUUCAUCAAAGAUUGGAAGGUGGCCGGAGCAUUAGUGAGACCAAAAGGCAUCACCAAGAAUUCGUAGUGCCCUUCGUGCGUGCGAAAAGCUGUCUUCUCCACAUCUUCCCCCUUCAUUCUUAUCUGAUGAUAUCCAGAUUUAAGAUCUAAUUUAGAGAAUAAUGUUGCCCCAUGUAGUUCAUUUAGGAGUUAUUCAAUCACCAGAAUGGGAAAUUUGUCGGCCACGGUUACUUGAUUCAGUUUACGGUAGUCUACACAGAAUCUCCAUCUCUAUCCUUCUUCUUCACCAAUAGUACCGGGCUAGAGUAAGGGUUGUGACUUGGCCAAAUCACCCUUGCUUGUAGCAUUUCUAUCACCAGUUUUUCAAUCUCUUCUUUUCGUACAUGUCCAUACUUAUAUGGUCGAACAUUGAUUGGUGUGAUCGGGUAAAGUCAAAAUGCGGUGGUCUACGGUUCUCUUGGGAGGUAAACCUAUUGGUAGCCUAAAUAUGUACGUGUACUGAUUGAGUAAUUGUUGAACCAUGGGUAAUCCUUCAUCAUCUCCUUUUAACUCACUUUUUGUUUCAUAUUCCUCUUCCCAUUCAACUUCAUAAUUUUGUAAUUCUAAAAGAAAUCCUUGGUCGCCUGAUUGCCAUGCUUUUUCUAUGGUCCUUAACGAACAUUCUGACUUGAUGAGGGAAGGGUCCCCUUUCAGUGUUAUUCUUCUUCUUUUUUCCAAAAUGUCAUGGUUAGGGAUGAUCAGUGCACUUUCAUGGUUCCUGUCGAAUCAAGCAAUUGCAUCCCUAAGACCAAGUCUACAUUUCCCAGUUCCACCGCCAAGAAGUCAACUAUGGGUCCCCUUUCAGUGUUAUUCUUCUUCUUUUUUCCAAAAUGUCAUGGUUUCUGUCACCAAUAACCCUCGGGCACCUCAGAGGAAUAGUACUGAUCAUCGAAAACCAGAGCCUGUAGAGAUUGUUUGUAACUACUGUCGUAAGCCAGGCCAUAUGAAACGUGAUUGUCGGAAAUUGCUAUGUAAGAAUAGUCAACGAUCUCAACAUGCUCAGAUAGCCUCCACAUGUGAUAUACCAGAGGCGUCAGUUACUAUUUCGACAGAUGAGUUUGCUAAGUUUCAGAAUUACCAAGAGUCAUUACAAGCGUCAUCUUCCUCUACUCCGAUUGCAUCCACUGUUGCCCCAGGUAAAGUAAAGUGUCUUCUUACAUCAUCUACCAAAUGGGUCAUAGACUCUGGUGCCACAGCUCAUAUGACAGGUAAUUCUCACCUAUUUUCUAGACCGUUGUCCCCUGCCCCUUUUCCAUCGGUUACAUUGGUCGAUGGCUCCACAUCUUCUGUUCUUGGCUCUGGCACUAUUCACCUUACCCCAUCAUUUUCUCUCUCUUCUGUGUUACAUUUGCCUAACUUAUCCUUUAAUUUAAUUUCUACUAGUCAACUUACUCAUGACCUAAAUUGUGUUGUCAUGUUCUUUUCUGGUUAUUGCUUGUUUCAGGAUCGUGUGACGAAGAAGAUUAUUGGUAGAGGAUAUGAGUCAGGAGGCCUUUAUCUCUUUGAUCAUCAAGUAUCGCAAGCUGUGGCGUGUCCUGUCGUUCCCUCUCCUUUUGAAGUCCAUUGUCGUUUAGGUCAUCCAUCUUUGUUCGUGUUGAAGAAACUUUAUCCAGAAUUUAGGUCUUUGUCCUCUUUAAAUUGUGAUUCGUGUCAAUUUGCGAAAUUUCAUCGUCUUAAUGAAAAAUCGUUCUGAGUUAUUAUCUCAUUUUUGUGCCUUUCAUACUGAAAUAAAAAACCAAUUUAAUGUCUCUAUCAAAACUUUGUGUACUGAUAAUGCGGGUGAAUAUUUUUCUCAUUCUCUUGGCUCUUACUUGUGUGAAAAUGGCAUUAUUCAUCAAUCUUCCUGUGCUGACACUCCAUCUCAAAAAUGGUGUUGCAGAGCGGAAAAAUAGGCAUUUACUUGAAACUGCCCGUGCUUUAUCGUUUCAAAUGCAUGUUUCAAAAAUCUUUUGGGUUGAUGCUGUCUCUACAGCUUGUUUUUUGAUUAAUAGAAUGCCUUCCUCUGUUCUUAUAUGGUGAGAUUCCCUAUCGUGUUCUUUUUCCUACCAAGCAUUUGUUUCCUAUUGCUCCUAAGAUAUUUGGUUGUGUCUGUUUUGUUCGUGACGUUCGUCCUCAUCAUACUAAGUUAGAUCCCAAAUCCUUGAAGUGUAAUCUCUCUUGGGUUAUUCACCGUGUUCAAAAGGGUUAUCGUUGUUAUUGUCCAACCUUUAAAAGGUAUCUGGUUUCGCCUGAUGUUGUUUUUUUGAAGAUACACCCUUUACUUCAUCACCAUCGAGUUUGUGUCAGGGGGAGGAUGACAAUCUUUUUAUAUAUGAGGUUACCUCUCCCACACCAUCCUUGUCUACUGAUGUGCCUCCUUCCCGCCUGUUGAUUUCUCAAGUCUACUCCCGACGACCACCACCAACAACCUUCAGACUCAUGUCCUCCAUCAAUGCUUCCUUCAUCAUGUGAUCCAGCGCCAAGUGAUGAUCUUCCUAUUGCUCUUCGCAAAGGUAAACGCAAGUGUACUUACCCCGUUUCUUCCUUUAUUUCCUAUCACCAGUUAUCUCCCUCCACAUAUGUGUUUAUUACGUCUCUUGAGUCCACAUCUAUUCCUAACUCUGUUCAUGAAGCUUUGUCUCAUCCUCGCUGGCAAAAUGCAAUGAUUAAGGAGAUGACUGGUUUAGAUGAUAAUGGUACUUGGGAUUUGGUAUCUCGUCCUGCAGGAAAGAAGGCCAUUGGUUGUAAAUGGGUGUUUGCUGUCAAGAUGAAUCCUGAUGAGAACAGUGGCUCGUUUAAAGGCUCGCCUUGUUGCCAAAGGUUAUGCUCAAAUCUAUGGCACUGAUUAUUCAGAUACAUUCUCUCUGGUUGCCAAGUUAACUUCCAUUCGCCUAUUUCUUUCCAUGGCUGCUACCAAUAAAUGGUCGUUGCAUCAACUUGACCUUAAGAAUGCUUUUCUUCACGGUGAUCUUCAAGAGGAAGUUUAUAUGGAACAACCACCAGGGUUUGUUGCUCAGGGGAGAGUGAUAAAGUAUGUCGCCUUCGAAAAUCUAUGUAUGGUUUGAAACAGAGUCCUCGUGCGUGGUUUGGUAAGUUUAGUCAAGCCCUUGUAUGCUUUGGUAUGAAGAAGAGUACAUCUGAUCAUUCAGUUUUCUGUCGCCGAUCUGAGAAGGGUAUAAUUCUACUAGUUGUAUAUGUUGAUGAUAUUGUUAUUACUGGAAAUGAUGCAUUGGGUAUUUAGUCUCUCAAAACUUUCCUUCAGGGUCAGUUUUAUACAAAAGAUUUGGGCCAAUUGAAAUAUUUUUUGGGCAUUGAAGUGAUGAGAAGCAAGAAAGGUAUUUAUUUGUCUCAACGAAAAUAUGUACUUGAUUUGUUGUCUGAAACAGGAAAAUUAGGCGCCAAACCAAGUGGCACUCCAAUGAUGCCAAAUGAGCAACUUGUUAAAGAAGGAGAAUUAUGUAAAGAUCCUGAGAGAUAUAGGAGAUUAGUUGGGAAGUUGAACUACUUAACAGUGACUCGACCAGACAUUGCAUAUUCUGUAAGUGUUGUAAGUCAAUUCAUGUCUUCCCCUACAGUGGAUCAUUGGGCUGCAGUAGAGCAGAUUUUGUGUUAUCUAAAAGCUGCUCCUGGACGUGGGAUCCUAUACAAAGAUCAUGGACAUACGAGAGUUGAAUGUUUUUCUGAUGCUGAUUGGGCGGGGUCUCGUGAGGAUAGGAGAUCGACUUCUGGAUAUUGUGUUUUUGUAGGUGGAAACUUAGUUUCAUGGAAGAGUAAGAAACAAAAUGUUGUUUCUCGUUCGAGUGCUGAGUCAGAAUAUAGAGCUAUGGCACAAUCUGUGUGUGAAAUAGUAUGGAUUCACCAACUAUUAUCUGAGAUAGGCUUCAGUAACGAACUAAACAUAUUGAGGUGGAUUGUCACUUCAUUCGUGAGAAAAUCCAAGAUAGGUUGGUGUCCACAGGAUAUGUGAAGACCGGAGAACAAUUGGGAGAUAUUCUAACUAAAGCUUUAAAUGGAACAAGGAUAAGCUAGCUAUCUGUGCAACAAGCUGGGCAUGAUCGACAUAUUUGCUCCAGCUUGAGGGGGAGUGUUAUGAUAUAUAUAUAUAUUACAUAUGUCCUUUAUUGUAAUUUUACAUUGUCUCUAGGGUUGUUAAAUUUGGUAGUAUGGGGUUCCAUCUCAAAACCAAUUGGCAAUGAGAGGAGUAGCCCAUCUACCUUAUAUGGAGUAUGAGUCCCCUUGGUUUUUCCAAUGUGGGACUCUCAACUUCUCCAACAAAUUUUAUAGAAGGACUACCCUUAGUUGGAGAUAUAAUGUAAUUAUGGUGGUAGUUGACCUUUUAAGUAAGUACUCCUACUUCCUAACUCUUAAACACCCAAAACAAGUAGCUUCUAUAUUUAUGGAAAGAGUAGUCAGCAAACAUGGCAUUUCCAAGUCUAUUAUUACAAAUAGUUAUAAGAUUUUUUUUACCAAUUUCUUGAGGGAGUUAUUCACCACCAAGGGCACGCUUUUAAAAAGAAGCACGGCUUUUCAUCCGCAAACAGACGGAAAAACAGAAAGAGUAAACAAGUGUCAGGAGACCUAUCUAAGGUGCUUCUGUAAUGAACAGCCGAGAAAAUGGGACAAGUCGAUUCCUUGGGCAAAGUUGUGGUACAACACCACCUUCCAUACGUCUAUCAAAGUAACUCCUUUUCAAACUGUUUAUGGCAGACCCCCCCCCCCCCCCCCCAUUAUUAUCGUAUGGGAUGAAUAAAUCUCCAAAUAAUGAGUUAGAAGCCAUGUUAAAAGAAAGAGACUUAGCAAUCAAUGCCUUGAACGAAAAUCUUUGUGCAGUCCAAAACCGAAUGAAAAAAAAAUGGCAGAUCGGAAUCGGAGAGAAUUGAAGUUCAAGGUAGGGGAUGAAGUCUAUUUGAAACUAAGACCCAAUAGACAACGCUCAUUGGCUAGAAAGAAGUGUGAGAAACUAACGCCAAAAUUUUAUGGGUCGUACAAGAUUACAGAGGAGAUUGGAGAGGUCGUGUACCGUUUGAAGUUACCAGCAGAAGCUGUCAUUCACAAUGUGUUCCACAUUUCUCAACUGAAACUGAAACUCAAAAAACAUGUAGUCCAACGUCAACAACCUAUCCUAACUGAGGACUUCGAAUUGCAGUUGUGGCCAAAAACUGUGUUGGGAGUAUGCUGGAAUAAAGAGCUGAGUGGAAAUGAAUGACUAAUUAAAUGGAAAAAUCUACCAGAUAGAGAAGCCACGUGGGAAUCAGUCUAUCUGCUGAAUCAGCAGUUUUCUAAUUUUCACCUUGAGGGCAUGGUGAACUUGGAACCAAGGGGUAUUGUAAGACCUCAAUCGUUCACACAUAUAAAAAGAAGAGUAGGAAGGUAAAUGAACAAACAAUUAAUGAUGAGAGAAUGUGUAAGGAUUCUACUUGAAUCACACAAUUGUUUGUUCAUUUACCUUUCUGCCCCUCCUUUUAUAUGUGUGAAUGAUUGGGGUCUUACAAUACCCCUAGGUUCUAACUCACCUUGUCCUCAAGGUGGAAGCUAGGGAACUGCUGAUUCAGUAGAUAUACUGAUUCCCAUGUUGCCUCACUAUCCGGUAGAUUCUUCCAUUUGACCAGCCAUUCAUUUCCACACGUCUCCUUGUUCCAUCAUACUCCCAACACAGUUUCCGGCCAUAAUUGUAAUUUGAAGUCCUCGGUUAAAUAUAGGCGGUUACUGUUGAACGACAUGUUGUUUUCCCAACUUCAGUUUCAAUUGGGAAAUGUGGAAAACAUUGUGAAUUACAGCUUCUAGUGGUAGUUUCAAACGAUACGUGACCUCCCCUAUCUCCUCAAUAAUCUCAUACAGCCCAUAAAAUUUCGAAGCUAGCUUCUCACAUUUCUUUCUAACUAAUGAUCUUUGUCUAUAGGGCCGUAGUUUCAAAUAAACUUCAUCACCAACUUUGAACUUGAGUUAUCUGCGAUUCUGAUCUACCAUUUUUUUCAUUCUGUUUUGGGCCGUACAGAGGUUUUCUUUCAAGGCAUUGAUUGCUAAAUCUCUUUCUUUUAACAUGGCUUCUACCUCAUUAUUUGAAGAUUUUUCAUCCCAUAAGAUAACAAUGGAGGGGAGGUGGAGGGUAUUAAUAUAAUUAGAUUAUUCUUAGGAGAUUAUUCUGGAGAUAUUAUUCUGGAGAUAUUAUUUGAUAUUAUUUCCUUAAGUGUAUUUCUCUAUGGUUAUAUAUAGGCUUGUAUCUCUAUUAAAUAAUCAAUGAAAGAUAGAUUAAUUCCAUAAAAUCAACAUGGUAUCAGAGCAAUAGGGUUUUAGUCUCCUUGUAUUCUAGCCGUCACAUUCCCGUUCGUCUGUCUCCGUUGAUUCGUCGACGUAGGCAGAGCCAUACCCAUCAGUAAUCAACACAUCAUGUCUCCAAGUAAUUCGCUCUGCCUCCUAGAUCAAAAUCCUCAUCUCUGAUUCUGCCGCCGCCGCCACUACUCCUUCCGCCAUCACUGCUCCUUCCAUCCACACAGUUCGUCGCACUCUCGACCCAUAUCCGCUCUCCAUUCGUCCUCACUUAGAUCUACUUGUGCGCACAUUGCAAGCACCGAUUUGUUCGUGCAUCUCUGUUCGUGUCUUCGACUUCCAGAUCCGUGUUUUAUUUCAUCUUUCGCCUUCGAAUCAUACUGUUCCAGAUCAGACCGACCUGCCACCGCCGCCCUUUACUCGUACCAAACAAUCUCUUUCGAUUGAAGACUCCCGAUCCUGAAGAGGGUGAAUCUUUGUUCAAAUCCAUGAUCCACCGCUCUGCUCCACUCACAGCCGACGACGCACAGGUUCGGCUCUUGUCCGCUCUCCAUUUGUGAAGCUCGCCGUCAUGAAACACAUCUUCUCUUUUUGCGAAGAACGCCGCAAAGCUCUCUAUCUACUCAACCUCUCAACUCUCUUCAGUUUUCGUUCUGUUCACCCAGAUUUCCUUAGUUCUUAGCAAACUCAAGUUUGUGAUUUCAACCUUGAGUUUGAGGGAGGGUAUUAAUAUAAUUAGAUUAUUCUUAGGAGAUUAUUCUGGAGAUAUUAUUCUGGAGAUAUUAUUUGAUAUUAUUUCCUUAAGUGUAUUUCUCUAUGGUUAUAUAUAGGCUUGUAUCUCUAUUAAAUAAUCAAUGAAAGAUAGAUUAAUUCCAUAAAAUCAACAUGGUAUCAGAGCAAUAGGGUUUUAGUCUCCUUGUAUUCUAGCCGUCACAUUCCCGUUCGUCUGUCUCCGUUGAUUCGUCGACGUAGGCAGAGCCAUACCCAUCAGUAAUCAACACAUCAUGUCUCCAAGUAAUUCGCUCUGCCUCCUAGAUCAAAAUCCUCAUCUCUGAUUCUGCCGCCGCCGCCACUACUCCUUCCGCCAUCACUGCUCCUUCCAUCCACACAGUUCGUCGCACUCUCGACCCAUAUCCGCUCUCCAUUCGUCCUCACUUAGAUCUACUUGUGCCGCACAUUGCAAGCACCGAUUUGUUCGUGCAUCUCUGUUCGUGUCUUCGACUUCCAGAUCCGUGUUUUAUUUCAUCUUUCGCCUUCGAAUCAUACUGUUCCAGAUCAGACCGACCUGCCACCGCCGCCCUUUACUCGUACCAAACAAUCUCUUUCGAUUGAAGACUCCCGAUCCUGAAGAGGGUGAAUCUUUGUUCAAAUCCAUGAUCCACCGCUCUGCUCCACUCACAGCCGACGACGCACAGGUUCGGCUCUUGUCCGCUCUCCAUUUGUGAAGCUCGCCGUCAUGAAACACAUCUUCUCUUUUUGCGAAGAACGCCGCAAAGCUCUCUAUCUACUCAACCUCUCAACUCUCUUCAGUUUUCGUUCUGUUCACCCAGAUUUCCUUAGUUCUUAGCAAACUCAAGUUUGUGAUUUCAACCUUGAGUUUGAGGGAGGGUAUUAAUAUAAUUAGAUUAUUCUUAGGAGAUUAUUCUGGAGAUAUUAUUCUGGAGAUAUUAUUUGAUAUUAUUUCCUUAAGUGUAUUUCUCUAUGGUUAUAUAUAUAGGCUUGUAUCUCUAUUAAAUAAUCAAUGAAAGAUAGAUUAAUUCCAUAAAAUCAACAGAGGGGAGGUCUGCCAUAAACAGUUUGGUAAGGAGUUGUUUUGGUGGACGCAUGGAAAGUGAUAUUAUACCAUAACUCUGCCCAAGGAAUUACUUUAUCCCAUUUUCUUGCAUGCUCAUUGCAGAAACAUCUUAGAUAGGUCUCUAGGCACCUAUUUACUCUCUCGGUUUGUCCAUCAGUUUGCGGGUGACAUGUUGUGCUUCUUUUCAAAAGUGUGUCCAUGGUGGUGGAUAACUCUUUCCAGAAAUUGCUAAGAAAGAUCUUAUCCCGAUCGAUAAUAAUGGAUUUGGGAAUACCAUGUUUGCUGACCACUCUUUCUAGAAAAAUUGAAGCCCAUUGCUUCGCUGUGUACGGGUGUUUAAGAGUUAAGAAGUAGGAAUACUUACUUAAACGGUCAACUACUACCAUAAUUACAUUACAUCCCUCGCUAAGGGUAGUCCCUCUAUGAAAUCCAUCCAAUCUUCCAAUAUCUUUUCAAGAAUGGGAAUGGGUUGUAGCACUCUGGUAGGAUUGGUAGCUUCGAAUUUGUUACGUUGGCAUAUGUCACACUCUUCCACAUAUUAUAGAAUGAGGUUGAACUUCCCUUUGUUCCAACCAGAAUUUCAGAGCUUUCUGAUCUAAAAUAAUAGUGAAUUUCCUCACCAGUAGGUAGUGCCUCCAUUUCUGCACUGAGAGAACAACUGCCAUGAGUUCCCGUUCAUAUAUGGACUUAACUUGAGCUCUUGAGGAAAGAGCUCAAGUUUCUGACUGAAGAAUGCUAUAGGGUGUCCUUGUGACAACAGCGCUCCUAAGCCUACUCCUGAAGUAUCAGUCUCAAUUGUAAAUGGAUGUGACCAAUCAGGCAGUGCUAACACUGGUAUGGUCAUCAUUGCUAAUUUCAGUUGUUCAAAAGUUGCUAUGGCUUCCUCAUUCCACUUGAACGCGUUCUUCUGAAUUAACUUAGUUAAGGGCGCGGCAAUCUCCCCAUAACUCUUCACAAACCUUCGAUAAUAUCCGGUCAGCCCUAGAAAUCCCCUCAGCCCAGUUAUGUCCUUCGGUUGUGGCCAAUUAAUCAUGCUUCGAAUCUUUUCCUCAUCAGCUUCGACUCCUCUACUGGAAAUCAUGUGCCUCAAAUACUGAACUUGGGAGUGGGCUAUUACACAUUUGUUUCUAUUUGCAAAUAGUUGAUCAUCCCUCAAUAUGGCAAAUACCAUCCCCAUAUGUUUCAUAUGCUCGUCUAUAUUAACACUAUAAACUAAAAUAUCAUUAAAAAAAGACAAGAACACAUCUUCUGAGGAAAGGUUUGAAUAUUUGGUUCAUCAAAGAUUGGAAGGUGGCCGGAGCAUUAGUGAGACCAAAAGGCAUCACUAAGAAUUCGUAGUGCCCUUCGUGCGUGCGAAAAGUUGUCUUCUCCACAUCUUCCCCCUUCAUUCUUAUCUGAUGAUAUCCAGAUUUAAGAUCUAAUUUAGAGAAUAAUGUCGCCCCAUGUAGUUCAUCUAGGAGUUCUUCAAUCACCGAAAUGGGGAAUUUGUCGGCCACGGUUACUUGAUUCAGUUUACGGUAGUCUACAUAGAAUCUCCAUCCAUAUCCUUCUUCUUCACCAAUAGUACGGGCUAGAGUAAGGGCUGUGACUUGGCCGAAUCACCCCUGCUUGUAGCAUUUCUAUCACCAGUUUUUCAAUCUCUUCUUUUUGUACAUGUCCAUACUUAUAUGGUCGAACAUUGAUUGGUCUGUGAUCGGGUAAAGUCAAAAUGCAGUGGUCUACGGUUCUCUUGGGAGGUAAACCUAUUGGUAGCCUAAAUAUGUACGUGUAUUGAUUGAGUAAUUGUUGAACCAUGGGUAAUCCUUCAUCAUCUCCUUUUAACUCACUUUCUGUUUCAUAUUCCUCUUCCCAUUCAACUUCAUAAUUUUGCAAUUCUAAAAGAAAUCCUCGGUCGCCUGAUUGCCAUGUUUUUUCUAUGGUCCUCAACGAACAUUCUGACUUGAUGAGGGAAGGGUCCCCUCAGUGUUAUUCUUCUUCCUUUUUUCCAAAAUGUCAUGGUUAGGGAUGGUCAAUGCACCUUCAUGGUUCCUGUCGAAUCAAGUCAUUGCAUCCCUAAAAGUCUACAUUUCCCAGUUCCACCGCAAGAAGUCAGCUAUGACUGUUAACUCCUUCAAUUUCACUUUUACCCUCUUACAUAUUCCUUUUCCUUCGCAACGGGUGCUGUCUUCAAUGGUUACUCCAAAUUGGGUUCUUGGAUCAAUGCCCAACCGCAGUUCUUCCACCAACACUUGACUGAUAAAAUUAUUGGUCGCACUGCUAUCAAUAAGGAGUAUUACCUCUCUUCCAUUCAUUUGUCCUUUCAAUUUCAUAGUUCCUUUGGACGUAACUACCGUGAUCACCCUUAAUUCAAUCUCAGCAAUCUCAUUCAAAUCUAAUUGAUUCGGUUCUAUCACUUCCUCUACCUCAUCCUCUGUGGUCGCUUCCUUUUCGUUACUCUCUUCCUCAUUCAAUAUAAGUAGCAUCAACUCUCUUUUUUCUCUGACCUUGCAUUUAUGGCCGAGUGAAUAUUUUUCAUUACACCUGAAACACAGCCCUUUAUCAAGCUUCGCUGUGUCUGAAAGCCUAUUGACUGGAGGAUCAUUUUUUUGGUAACCCCUUUUACCGGAAUGGUUAUCUGUUUCAUGGCAAACUCUGCCGUCUUUUGUUCAACCUUCUCAUUCUUACCUUGAAUCUUGCCUGUGUUCUCACUUCUUUUGGGCUCAAUCCUACUCAAUUCAUCCAUAGCCAGUUGUAAGGCUAGAUUUCUAUCAUUCACCAGUUGAGCUUCCUUCAUACACUCCUCUAAAGUUCGAGGGUGUCUACUAAUCACUUAUGCUUGUAAUGCGGCUCGAGACCCGUCAAAACGCGUCCUGUAGUACACUUUCGGCCAUGUCAGGGAGUGGAGCUGAAUAUGUAACGAACUUCUUAACAAAAUCGCUAUAGGAUCCUUCUUGCUUGAUACGGAUCAGUCUUGCCCCUAAGCUAUGUUGUUCGGUGUCAUUGAAAAAAUCAAACAUCCUUCCUUUCAAGUCCUCCCAUGAUUCCACCCUCUUUCGGUGGUGGCUCCACCUAUACCAAUCUACUUCCUCUUGUCCAAAACUCACAACUGCUACCUUGACCUUCUUCGCUUCAGUAAGUUAUUAAUCUCAAAGAAGUGUUCCGCCCGGUAAGCCUAGGAUUCGGGAUUCACCCUUGUAAACAUUGGCAUUUACAGCUUCUUGUAUUUACUUCGGUCCACGUUACCUCCACUAUUCUCUGCAGUCGUCUCUGUAUCCUCGAGCUUCUCUUUAAGUUUCAACAUCGGACCUUCAGCAGUCCUAGCCUCUUCUCUUCUUUUGUAACUGUGGUUUUCUCGCAGUUCAUCAGCCAUUCGAUCCAUCAACUUCUUCAUCUCCAGCAUCAUCUCCUUUAAACCCAUAAUUUCUUUUUCAGUCCCAUCUACCCGUUCCUCUAUUUGUUGCUGAGCAAUGAGCGCGCAUGACCACCCCAGUGUGGUGGCUCUAAUACCAAAUGUAAGGAUUCUACUUGACUCACACAAAUAUUACACCCUCACAAUGGCAAAACAGAGGCAGCACUCAGUAAUCUUUAUUUAUAUAUAGGCUAAAACAGUUACACUAGUCACAAUAUCCAAAACAGUAAAGAACAUACCCAACUUCCUUUUGGGAUAGCUAAAUACCCUCUCCAGGCUAUGGCAGCCGCCUUGACAAAGGAUAAAAUAAAACCUACCUACCCAAUCCCUAAAAGACCUAUUUAUAUACCUCAUCUCAUCAUUCUUUCAUUUAUGUGCCUGGCCCCACUCGCACAAUCCCUUUCUAUCAUUCCGUCGUCAUUAAUUGUUUGUUCAUUUACCUUUCUGCCCCUCCUUUUAUAUGUGUGAAUGAUUGGGGUCUUACAGAAUGAUGGAAAGGGAUCGUGCGAGUGGGGCCCAUGCAUAGGAAUGAAAGAUUGAUGUAAGGAGGUAUAUAAAUAGAUCUUUUCGAGAUUGGGUAGGUAGGUUUUAUUUUCUUUAUGUCAAGUCAACUGCCAUAGCCUGGGAGGAUAUUUCAGUUAUCACAAAAGGAAGCUAGGUAUGUUCUUUACUGUUUAUCUUGUUAUUUUGGAUAUUGUGACUAGUGUAAUCUUUUGGCUUAUACAUAAAUAAAGUUUAGCAGAGUGUUGUCUCUGUUUUGCCAUUUUGUGUGUGGAAAUAUUUGUGUGUGUUUAGUAGAGUCGUUACAGAGUCAUGUAACAAAUUAUGAUUACACAGGGAUAGGUGAUGGCUAAGAUGCAUAUAAGGAUUUUCCUUUCAAGAAUAUCGAGGAAAGGAAUUCCAUAAGAACAAUAUAAUUUAAAGGUAUCAUUCCAAGCGUCUAAUUUAGGCUCUAAUCUAGCAGACUGACUAAGUUAUAAAUUAAAAGCGGUAAAGAGUUACGUGGAAACCUAAGUACUAGGAGAAAACCACAACCUAACUUUCUUAUUAUUAUCUCAUAUGAACAAAAGAUACAAAGGAGAAAAAAAAAUAAACAAGUUUAAGAUAAAAAAGAAGAGAAUAUUAGGGUUAAUCUUUCCUUGGGCUUAAAGCCCAUUAAUUCUAACAUUAUAUAUCUAGUAUCAGGAAGACAGCGUACCUAUAACUUCUUCAACUUGAACAGGAAUAAAGUGGGCCUGUAAGAGGUUGAGAUGCAUACAUGCAAAUCAGUUACAGCUGAGAGUGACUAAAGAGGCAAUUGUUUUGUGAAGAAUAAUAAUGUUUACACUGUUAGGCUUCUUCAAGCAAUCAAAUCUUCUGCCAGCUUCUGAGAAUCUCAACCAACCCAUCACCAACCUAUAAAAAAGUGACUAUGUCAAGAUUCAGUUCUUAAAUUUCUUCCUCAAUGAAAAUGUCAAGAUUCAGUUCCUAAUUUUCUUCGACAAGGAAAACAGAUUGCAGCACUAAGAGGAUAUUUAACAGAAUCUAAUGGUAUAGAAAACCCUGACGUGGGUAUCAACCCACAAGGAAAACAGCUUCUGAGAAUAUGUUUUCCUCGAUACUUACCCAUUACCAACAGAAACCUGAGAAAAUACAAGUUUAAAUGUCAGAAACAGACAUAAACUAUAUGAUUAAAAGAAGAAUGCAAUUGAUCGGCAAGAGUAUCUUCCUAAUUCAACACCUAAUAGUGAUGCAAGACAACAAGAAACGAUUGUGCAUUUAUUUUAUCAAAGAACAGGCUUUUGUGGCACGCAGCCAACCCUGAAUACUAUACUGAGAUUGGAUCCCACAUGAACCAAUAUAAUCAUGGAGGAAAAGAAGAUAUGUAAAUUGGAGCCAAAGUAAAAUGAAGUGCAGCACCAACCACAUUCAGAUUAUGCCGGCUACAUUGCAAAAGAAUGCAGAUGUCGUUGAUUGCCCGGUCAACAACUGACUGAUCUGAAAAAUAUUCAUCAUUAUAUGAGGAAGUCAAUGUCAUUAAGCUCUGGUGUACAAUAACCAAGCAAAACAAGGAAAGGUUCAGAAAAUCUCCUGCCACGAACUUGAUGAAAUCAUAAAUUUGAAGGAUAUGUUGAAAUUCAAAUUUUCUGAACAGGCAUGCAAAUUAAUUGUUGUAAGAUGUUGCAUCUUAGAACAUAAUUGCGGGUUUGAUUACCUGUAAAUAUAGAGGGAUGCAUAUAAUAUAUAUCUCUCUUUGAGCUAUGUCUAUUUUCUCCCAGAAGCUGCUGAAUUAUGAGUAGAACUCUAAGCAAGACAUCUGAUAGAACAAAAUAAUAUCAAAUACAAGUGUACUCUAUAGUCUGUACAGAUUAUGAUUUUGUAGUAUCAUUCAUCGGAAUAACUAAUUCACCUAGUCUACGGACGUGGCUUUCCCUUUGAAGUGUUAGAACAUCCUUCCCUUCAGAUAAAUUGAACCUACAACAACUGCAUAAAAAAUUAGCGAAAAAUCAUCUAAACGUCUCUUUUGGUACAAAUAUCGUUUUCAAAACACAAGUCCAAUUUCAAGAUAGUGUCAUCUUCACAUUCAAGAACUAUAACUUUCUUGAAAAAUAAAAAUAUUAUGUCUAAAAACUAAAGAAUGACUGAAAACUAGGUCAUAAACAUAAAAUGCAUUUGAGUUAAGAAUUGAGAUUGAGCAGUGACUUUUGAAAAUGACAAAUCAUAGCUAAACUAUGCAACUCUGCUUCAAGUUCUAGAGAUAUAUUCGCAUCUGAAGUAACACUGAUUUUCUGCUGGUAUUUUGUGAGCGACUACUGAUUUGGCCUUCGACACGAUCCAAUAGACCCGGUAGUAGAUAAAUAAUCGAAAACUAUAGAAAUUUUUCGCACGAAUAGGGAAAUGAAUAUUCGUAGUCUAGUAAAGCACUUAAUAACAUUGUAGAUCAUGAACUUUAUUUGGUUACCAAUUCGAAGAUUCAAAAGAUUGGAAGCAAAAUAUUCUAUACAGAAAAUUACGAACCAGUUUUCAAGGGAAUUGGAGCAGUAACUUUUGAAUCGAUCGAUGGCGAUCAUCCUGGAGCUUCCAUUGCUCAGUUCGACGAUCAUAGAUCUCGUUAGCUCUGCAAAAGAUUGUAUUGGAAAACGGAAAGAAAAUAGCAACGACGAAACAGAAAUCAACUGGAAUGAAUAUGAGAAUCAGAAAAAUCAAUGGAAUUGCGACCUGUGAUUUUUCUCAUUACUUCAAUUCUCUCCAAGCUUCCUCGGUUUCCCUCCAUUUUUCUUCGAUGCGAUUGGUUUUCAUGUUUUGAAUGCGGCCUGUGUGGUGUACGCAUUAGUUUAGGGGGAAAAGAGCGAAAAAACUUGGGGAAUUGACGAAAAUAGGCCAAAAAUGGGGUAAAAAAAGAGUUUUAAGAUUGAUAGUAAAAAAGUUGAGAUUUAUGAUAAAUUUGGGGUGAAAUGACGAAAAUAUUCUUAUUUAAUUUCUUCUUUCCUCUUUUCUUCAACCUAAAAACAGAACAACGCUAAAAAAAACUUAAACUUGAACCUCCCGCUUAUACAGUUCCUUCAACUUGGUGCCUCCAGUGAACGUCUCUUCUCUUCCAUCCAUUUCUUCUCCACUUCCAUCCAUUUCUUCUCCACGACUCUCCACUCUUUUCCGAUUUCAAAUUUUUUACCGAACCUCUCCAUUUCUUCUCCACGGGUCUCUGUUUUAGUUUCGACUUCAACUCCGGUGAACGCUUCUCCACUCCUUUCCGAUUUCAGCUUUGUUUUCACCGGACCUCUCCAUUUCUUCUCCACUCCUCUUCGUUGGCAGUGUCGUAUCCAUCAUCUUUGAAGUCAAGUGAGUAAUAAAAUCUGAGUUUUUUUUUUAUAAAUCAUUUUUUUAAAGUUGUCUGUUGAGAUAUGAGUUUUUUGUUGGGCACAUUUUAGAUAUAUCAUUAAAUUUGUAGAGAAAAAAUGCAUAUGUCGUACAGGCACACACACAUAGAGAGUCGUGGGAACAUGAAUUUCGUUUAGAAUGCAUGUUUAACUAGUUUACAGAGCUUUAAUGGUUUAGGGUUAACAAUUUUAUUAGACUUGGCAAAUAAUAACCUUGAAUUGUUUAUCUCGCACCUACCAAAAUUUGAGUAGAAGUUUCAAGAGGAUAGUGCUACCCUUCCUAAACCGUUUAGAAUGCAUGUUUAGCUAGUUUACUGGGCUUUAAGAGUUUAGGGUUAGCAAUUUUAUUAGACUUAGCAAGUAAUAGCCUUGAAUUUUUUAUCUCGCACCUAUCUCACACCUACCAAAAUUUUAGUAGAAGUUUCAAGAUGAGAGUGUUACCCUUCAUAAACCGUUUAGAAUGCAUGUUUAGCUAGUUUACUGGGCUUUAAGAGUUUUAGCUAGUUUAUUGGGCUUUAAGAGUUUAGGGUUAGCAAUUUUAUUAGACUUAACAAGUAAUAGCCUUGAAUUUUUUAUCUCGCACCUACCAAAAUUUGAGUAGAAGUUUCAAGAUGAGAGUGUAUCCAUGUUUAGUAAGUCUCUUAUGCAAUUAUAUUUAAUUUGUUUAUUUUUUAUGCAGGCUUCAGUAUGACUUCGACAUCAACUGAUGGUCUCAUGUACAAGAUUGACCCUUCUCAUCAUUUUCAUGCUAUAGUAAGCAGUUUGCAUCAUUUAGAAAAUAGUACGCGUAAUAUAAAGGCAAAAUUGAAACCGGAUCAAUUAACAUUUGAUAUUUGUCUUAUUGUCUUAUUAUAUUUCGGUCUGACAUAAAUACAUAUACAUGCAUGUAUAUUUUUUUUCUUUCCAGCAAUUAUUAGUUGCGAAGUGGCAUGAAUACCAAGAAUGUAUUAAAGAGAAUCGGCCAUUUCACUGGAAGGAGGAGUAUCGAUUGGUUGACUAUGUCGUCGGAUCAAAAGAAGACUUUCAAGAUCCUUGGGCGAAUGUUGAUUACAUUUACUCUACAUUCAAUAUCCAUGGUAAUCAUUGGAUUCUAUUAUGUCUUGGACUUGGUCAGUUGUCAAGUUAAGGCAUGAGAUUCGCUUCCGUCGCUUACGAGUGUCGAAGAUAUGAGAAGCAUAUUAAUGCCAAUUCAAGAGAUGGUGCCAAAUUUGCUAGAUACUAUUGGAUUCUUUGCUAGGAGAGGCAGAUCAUCAACACACAAGGAACCUUGGCCACUUGUCAUUGUUGACUCCAUUCCACUGCAACUCAACAAUAGUGAUUAUGGUGUAUUUACCAUUAAGUAUUUCGAAUACGAAGCUUCUGGUUUAGAUGUAGCAACAUUAUGUCAAGAAAACAUGUCAUAUUUUAGAAAACAAUUGGCAUUUCAAUUAUGGACCAACAAUCCCAUGUAUUGACUUUUAGUUGCAAAUUUUGAAGGAAUUGUAUAUGUUGCGAACUAUGUACAUAAAUAGAUUUAUAUAAUAGAAUGAAUACCAUUGUUAUUUUAUGGUCUGAAUUUUUUAUUUUAUUCUUUUGGAAAAAUUGUCAAGUGUGCAGUAUGUACAAUCCCAUAAGCAUAAUUUGAGAUGUGGUUAUCUUGCAUUUUGAUAAUAUGAAGACUAUACAGUUGAUUUGUUUUUUGUAGGGGCUACUGCUAUGGACCAACAUCAUUUGGGUUUGGUUAGAGAAAGAAAUGGAACCAGUCAUAAUCAAUUUAGGUGUUGAAGUGAGAGAGAUAUAAUUAAAAGUAUGGUAUCCAACCAACUUUUUUGUCUCUAGCUAAAGAAUCAUUUUGCCAGCUUGUUGUGUGAUUAAGUGGUAGGAAGUAGGCACAAUGCUGAUCUUUUUUGGAUCAUUUUGCCAUGGUUCCUUGCACUUUUACAUUUGUUUGAUUCAUGAUCAUUUUUUUUAGAGACAAAAACAGUAGUCUUUUUUCCAUUUUGUAUUAUGAAAGUUUUUUGCUGAUUUUUUUUCCUUUUACAUGUUCAGAAGGAAACACAACCGUUAAAACACAACCAUUAAGAAAGUUGACAGCUACGAAAUGUUUACGAUAUUGUGAGAUACAAAAAACAAUAGUUAAAAGUCACCCUAAAUCAAUUCGUUUUAGAUUAAACAUUUGAAUUUAAGAACCUGCGAGAUGUCUAAGAGAUGUUUGCGAGAUAAAAUAAUAAUAAUAAUAACUUGCUAACAUCAUUUGAAACAUCUCUAAAACAACCCUAAAUCAACUUGAAAUAAUUAAAAAUUAUAUUUGAUUUAUACGUUUAAGAUGCAAAUAUAUAUACAUAUAACACAACACAAUUCAUAUUAAAAAAAAAAAUUAAAACAAACCACAGUGCGUGAGAUGUUCGCCGGAGUAGAGGAUGAAUGACACUGGAGUAAAGCGGAAAGUUGACAAACUUUUGAGAGAGGAGAAGAACUGCAAAUAGAUUUUUUUUUUUUCCUUUACGUACUCUACAUUGAAGAGAGAGAUGUUGGAAGAGAAGAGCAAAUGUGAAGUAAAAUUAAAUAAGGGUAUUUUCGUCAUUUCACUCUAAAUUUGUCCUAAAUCUCAACUUUUUUACUAUCAAUCUUAAAACUCUUUUUCUACCCCAUUUUUGGCCUAUUUUUGGCAAUUCCCCAAAAAAACUUUAGAAACUUAUUUUUGUUUAUUACAAUUUGAACUACAGUUAACAAUAUAUAAUAACUUGGGUUUGAAAUGCACAUUAUUUUAGUAAUAAUACGUAUGUAACGUCCAAAUUUAGGAAAGAAAUAUUUAGAUCAAACCUAAAUGAGAGAAAUACACAACUCUAACAAAAUAUAUUUACUUUAAGAUAAUCUAACGUUAACCUUGUCUAUAUACCAGGUGAAGCUCAAAGUGUCCAUUGUUUUGUUGUUGUAGUUGAUCCCAAACAAGGUAAAGACAACCACAAGAUAUUCUCUACUGUUUUCUUGGACUUAUAAUUAGUUUGUAAGAACUAAAAUGUUUGUUGAAUUGAGAUAGAUUUUGGUGAGAUUUGCUUAAUACUCACUAAAUUUGAGUAAAUGACUUUAAACCUUCGUCAAAAUUAAUCCCCGCCUACUUAUAAGUCAUGCAAGUGGUGCAUAAACUCACAAUAGUCCAUUCAAGAUGAACAAUUGGAUACAUCCACUUAGUUGAUCUUUAAUUUUUCCACUAUCAAAUUAUUACAUAAUUAUAUGAAUUUUGUAAUUUAUUUGGCCUUAAAUUAAUUAGUUUUCAAUAUAAUUAUAUAAUAUCAAAUUAUAAAAUAAUAAAUAUUUUAAUUAAUUAUAAUUUAAUAUCCAAUAUUAAAAUAUUAUUUUAUCUAUUUAUUUGGGUCAAUCAAAUCUAUUUAAAUAUCAUUUCUCUCUCAAAUCUAUUUAAAUAUCAUUUCUCUCUGAAUUUGUAACUAUUAAUCAUAUCUACUAUUAUUAAAGAUUCUAUCUCUAAUUCAAUUCGAACAAUUCCAAUUUUUUGAUUGCAAUGUUUUAAGUUUAAUUUCCUAACGAGCUAGUAGGGUUUUACAAAUUAGGAUCUCGAAUGAUCUAGAUUUACCAGCUAAACUAUUAUAUAUAAUCUAGUAACCAACAUUCGUUAAGUAACAAAAUUGUCUACAACAGCUCAUAACUACACUCUCCUCACUGUAGAUAUUUAUAUAUUUACAUCCAUUUGAUAUAACCAUGAUUAGUCAAUCAACCAUUCACAUGUUCAUAAUUUUGGUUAGGUCAAAGUAUUGUUUUACCUCCGAAAUUAUAUUUUGUUCCUUAAGCCUCAGUUGAUCCUCUAAUGAAAUAUUGGUUUGUGGUCUAAUCAUUAAACUGAGUCCCUCUUAGGCCAAUGAGAGGGCGAAACCCCUUGUUUAAGAUCUAGAGUCAGCACUUAAGAGAACAUCAUUUCUACAUUCCCUAGAUGCAAAUUGAAGUUAAUCCCAUUUUGCACCAUAUGUCCCCAAUUACAUAGGUUUGAUUACUUUUGGAAUAAGAGGUCUAUUGGGCUAACGCUGACGAGUUGUCCUCACCUAUGCAGAUCUAUAGAUAAUCCAAGUAAAGAGGAGUUCAUAGUUAGUUUAACCUAGGUCAUCAAAGUUGAAAUAGUCAGUUUUAAACAAUAAACGGUGUUAUAAUGUAAAAGUGACUAUUUCAUGGUCCGAUCUUAUGCAAACUCUUUUACAUAGAAUACCUCCCCUUGCACGUCUCUGUAUGAGCGAUUUGGAAUUAUUUCACAUAUACUAAAUGAAAAGUGGGUUAGAUCCCUUGUGUUCCCAUAAUAAGGCAUUCAAUUUUAUUCCUAUACUAUAAGUCAUUUAGAUUAUUUACUCGAAUUUGAUCCACAUUUAUGUCACUUCAUAGAGUUCAAGUACUCUAUUGUAGUCAAUAAAUCUUAGUUUAUUGAAUUUUAGUUUGUAACGAGCAAAUCUCUUAUUUAAGAACAAUAAUUCAAUAACAACUUUAUUGAAUAUUAGAACAAUUUAUACUCACAAUCAAGAGUUUUAGAACAUAAAACUAACAACCGGAUAUUAGCUUGAAACUAUCUAACAUAAUAGAACAUGAUAUUGUAACUAGGUAGAGCCCAAUAUUUACUUUUGAAACCCAAUUAAAAGUUGACUGGCAUUGUUUAAAUAAAUGACCUACUAAGUAUGAAUACAGUUUAUAGCUAACCUCCCUUUCCCUUACUAGAACAAACAUUUAUGAUGUUUGAGGUGGGAUGUUCAAAAUUUUGUACAACACUUUUGUUGCAAUAAAAUCUCCAAAAAAAAAAAAAAAAACCAGACUUUGUUUGAUAAUCAUUGUUGUUUCUUGUUUUUUUGGAAAAAAGAAAUGUAAACAUAAUUUUUUUAUAUUAAUUUAUUGUUUCGUGUUACUUGUGUUAUUUUUUAAAAAAUAUUUUAACUUAUUUUAGUUUAAAUAUAAUUUAGUUAUGUAAAAAGAUAUAUAUAUAUAAUUCAUUAAAAUAUGAAAAGCAUUUUCACAAAUAGCAAAAUAUUGAAACUAUCUACAAAAUAUAGGAAAAUUCAUCGAACUCUCUGAGCCUAUUUGAAAAUUUUGCUAUAUUUUGUAAAUAAUUUCAUUUUUUUGUGCUAUUCAUGAUAAUUUUCCAAAAAAUAAUCAUAAAAUACACAUAAGUCUUGUUGCAAAAUUAAUAACCAUAAUACAAUAGUUUUUAUUAAUUAUAAACGGUUAAAAUUUGAUUUGAAAUAUGAUUGUUCAUUCAAUUUAUUUCUCCUAAAUUAUUUAAAUUCAACUCAAUUAUAUUAUUACAUAAAUAAUGUGGUUGUAAAAUAGUAAAGAUAACUCAAUAUAUUGUUACAUACAUACAAUGUUUGUAAAAUAUUAACGAUAAUCUAGUGAGAAAAUUAUAUAACUCAAUUAUAUUAUUACGAAAUAGGGUGGUUAUAAAAUAUUAAAGAUAAUAUAGUGAAAAAAUUAUAUAAGGUAAAUUUCUAACUAAUUUGAAUGAUACUAUAAAUAAUAAAUUUUAUUUAAAAUAACAUAUAAACUAAUUUUGAAAAUUGAAAAAUUGAAAAAAUUUAAAUAAACAUACUGACAAUUUAAAUUGAGAAGAUCAAUAUAAUAUAUAAAUUUAUAAUAAAUAUAGCUAGAUAGAAAGAAAAUUUUAAAAUUAGAUCUAAAUUUUGAAAAUCAAAUAAGAUUGUUUGACAAAUUAAAAUAAUAUAUUUUAUAAAAGUUUAUUUAUUAAAAUAACAUAUUUAGAAGAAAUUUUUAAAAAACAAAUUUAUAUAUAAAAACGUCUAGCCAAGUUUAAAUUUUAAACUCAUUUAGAAAAAAGUAUUUAAAAAAAUAUAUUAUUAAAAAACAUUACGUUCUUAAUUCAAUCGAUUGAAAAUUUAGAAUUAAAUUAAAAUAUAAUUAUAAAAAAUUAGUAGAAGAAAAAAUAAAAACAAAUUAAAAAUAUUAAACAUACAUAGAAAAGAUUAAAAAAAGAAAAAAAGAAAAAAAGAAGUUAAAAAUUAUUAAACAUAUAAAUACGAAAAGAUAAGUAAAUAAAAAAAGAGUUAAAACAUAUAAAAAGAAAGAAAAAUCUUCAUAUCUCUCCACCAAUAAGUUAAGAGAUUUGAUUUUAAGAUAUAAAAAAAAUAAAAUAAAGUGAGAACAGAACUAGUUUUAUUUUUGUUCAAUUUUAAAUUUAAAACGCCUCCCAAAUGGAAAUUGCAGCCAAACAAGCCGCUUCCAGAAUACGAUACACCGACUUCCAAACAGUCCCUCUAACUUCAAACCAUUCCUCUCUCUCUUUGCCAAAGCCCUACUUUCAAACUUGAAGAAAACAAACAAAAUUGGAACACAAAAUUGAUCUAAACCCUAAUCUUCCAACAAUGUCCCCUCUCAUUUUCCGAUCCCGAUUCUUUUCCCUUCUGAAGAAUCGCCAUGGCCGUCUUAUGAGCUCCGACCUCGCUUCAACCCCUUCCAAAGAUGCCCUCAAUGCCUCUCAGAAGCUCGUCUCCGAUCAGAUUCCACCUGAUGCUCAAACCACUUCUGCUAUUUCUUCUUCUUCUUCCUCUAGUAAGCCCUGGAAUUUCUUCAAGUAUAGUUUGAUUGGUGCUCUCACAGGUGCAACUGCGGUUGCUGGUUACGCC